AGGACGAACGCUGGCGGCGUGCUUAACACAUGCAAGUCGAGCGGAAAGGCCCUUCGGGGUACUCGAGCGGCGAACGGGUGAGUAACACGUGAGUAAUCUGCCCUUAGCUCUGGGAUAGCUCCGGGAAACCGGGAUUAAUACCAGAUACGACCACACUAGACAUCUUCCGUGGUGGAAAGAAUUUCGGCUAGGGAUGAACUCGCGGCCUAUCAGCUUGUUGGUGAGGUAACGGCUCACCAAGGCGACGACGGGUAGCCGGCCUGAGAGGGCGACCGGCCACACUGGGACUGAGACACGGCCCAGACUCCUACGGGAGGCAGCAGUGGGGAAUAUUGCGCAAUGGGCGAAAGCCUGACGCAGCGACGCCGCGUGGGGGAUGAAAUCCCUUGGGAUGUAAACUCUUCGAUCGGAAGAUAAUGACGGUACCGAGAGAAGAAGCCCGGCUAACUUCGUGCCAGCAGCCGC
rnacentral:rRNA from 1 species